rnacentral:misc_RNA from 1 species
AACGCACCUUGCGCCCCUUGGUAUUCCGAGGGGCAUGCCUGUUUGAGCGUCGCGAGGAAAGGAUCAACUGCCUGUCGGUCUUUUGUGGCCGAGGUGAAGUUGGAUGUGGAGGGAUAUAUCAUUGCUGGCUUUUGUUGUCGGCUCCUCUUGAAUCGAUAAGGCCUCGUUUUCGGCGGAGUGAUGGUCGAUGUGAUACUCAUCCGCGUCGUCCUGGAAAAGCCGUUUUGCGAGCGUGGCCAAAAUGAAAAAGGAGAGAAAAAGGCUGCUUUCCCUUUUUCGAGGGGGAGGAGUCUUCUCCCGUCAGUCAAUAUCGACCUCAAAUCAGGUAGGACCACCCGCUGAACUUAA